UUCCAGAGACAAGUCGCAUUAAGGGGAACAUAUGGCAACUAUAAAUAAUGACAAACCUACAUUGGCCAGCAUUGUCUAAUAUUAUUUUUCGGACUUAUGCAGAAUUGCCGAGGUUUAGGUUUGCCCAAUUCCGUAAUGAGUUCAGACGUGUGGUAGCCGAUCUUAUCUGAAAACAGACUUGUCUGCGUGCACCUUUUCCCUGUCUUAAUUUACCAGCUAUGUUAUGUCCCAUCACUUUCUGUAAACAUAUUCAACAAUGGCAACAACUUUGGUUAAAGGACUUAAUAAAUCGAAUAUCUGAGUGCAGAAAGCUGCUAGAAAGAAGCCUGGCGCCUUGGCAAGUGCUUCAACGACGGCGCCAAUUACAUGAAAGUGAAUGAAGCCAAUUAACCAUCGAGUGAAGACGACUUGAAAUGAAAGACCCUCAGCCAAUGAAACAGUUCCUUCACCAGAGGGUGGUCCGUCAUAUGAUGUUAUAUAUGGGUCGACACAAGGAUUUCUGGAAGGAGUUCUAUCAGCUAUCACUGUUCCAAGGUGUGGUGAUUGUUACCAUCGUCAUCAUCACCAAUGCCAUGAUUAAUCAAGACGAAUAAUAAUGACAACUUGGAGAACUACAACAACCAACAAAUCAAAGAUGGCAGUGAAACAUUUUAAUCACAUAUUUAUGUAUUUUUUUGUAUUGCAA